ensembl:lncRNA
CUCUAUUCGAAUGCCCAAGGACAUUUCUUACUUUCGAAGAGAAAGGGAAUUGGCUCUAAAGAAAACUUUACAGGUGAGUAGGAGAGUGUAAUUGUAAUACACAAUUGUAUUGUAAUACAACAAUACACUGGAUUUUGCUAACUUUUUGAAACAUUUAGCAAGAAAACUUUAUUUUCAGCAAACACCAGCUGAUGUUAUUGACAGUGUUAUGAGAGCAAAACAGCCCAAUGCUCACUGCUAGAUCAGAGUAGGCCACUACUUCUUUGGAGAUACCUAUUUUCUGUGAUGUUUUGAAAUUUUACAGUUUCUUGAUUUGUGCUAUUACAAUUCAUUAUUUGGAAACCGAGGUAUAACAGUAUAACAUGUUGUGUAAAAACUAUCAGAAAUUGAGUAUCGUUUGCUGUCGUAAACAAUGGUAAUUUUUCUUCCUUAUUUCUUUGUUUGCCUGUUCUGCUGCCUGGGGUUCAGGUGGCUGAGUCAAAGCCCCUUGUUGUUCAAGCAGAUGUCAUGCAGAGGGAGCUAGAGAGCUGCCUAAGAAGAGAGUACACUCCUGAAAAUUUACCUUUGCUUCUGUUGCAGUAUUAUACAGAGAGAAUUACCCAGCUGGCCCAGAGUAAAUAUUUACACAUGCUUAGAUGGAAGAGGUUUUGCCAGCACAGUAAGAUUAUGGAGCAACUUUAUCCUCUUUACAAGAAACAAGUUGCCUACAUUAUGCAGGAAUACAAUGAUGCCCUUCAGAGAGCUGAAAGAUUGUCUGUUGCACGAGAAAACUUCCUUCUGGGAAAAAACAAUCCUUCUAACUUAGUGACACAAGAAGACCUGACUAUUUACACAAAGUGGAUUGUGUGUCACCUACACUCGCUCAGGACUGUUCACCACUACCUACGGUCCCUCCAGUAUUUGCCCAUCUCCAAAGUGCUGAGUGUAGCUAUUGAUGAAUUUCCUGAGGCUUGUCAGGAGAAUGAAAAUGUAUGUGUUGAUGACAUCGACCCUAAUAUCCAGAGUUCUGGAUCUCUAGACCCUGUGGAUACCAGCAUUUCAGGGCUGAUAAGAACAGAAGCUGCUUUCUCCCUGCCCCAACACAUGACUGAAAGAGAAGGACUGAAACCCCAGCUGAGGCUCCUGCUCUCCCAUUUUAAUAUCCCAUAUGACGUGGAAGAGCUAAGGGAUGCUACUAAGGAAAUGGAACUCUUUAACCUGGUUUCCCAAAAAUUUCAAAGCAUCUUUAUGGAGCAACAGAGAAUGCAAACAUUUCCAGACUAUGAUUCGAAGAUAGCUACUAUGGAGAAUUUGGGUUUGGCAGGACCUGGUAUGGCCUUGAAAAAGAAAGCUAACUGGAUUUCCUUUAUAAAGAUUAAGCCAAAAUGUGAUCCUUGGCAAAAGAAGAUGUUGACCAAACUAAAAGAACGGAAAAGAAUUGAUGCAUUAAUGCAACUCCAAGCAAAGUUUUUGAAGAUUUCCAGCCCUGAGCGAGUGAUGCAAGUGCUCCAAGACCACGCGGCGAAGACAGUCAUGCUGGCUCCAUCUCAUCCAGCUUUCGUGGCUUCCCAGAGUUCGCAUCAGUGCAACUAUGACAGUAUCUGGGAGGACAUUUAUAGCAACACCAACCUGUACCAGAAUGAAAAUAUGAAGGAAGAUGACCUUGCGAUGGCACAAAAUGCAAAUGACCCAGCACAAAUAAGUCUCUGCCAACAUGCUGAUAAGCCUGUCAAGCAGAAAAAAGAGAAAGGAUACAGCUAUGCAAAGGCCCUACAACUGCUCGGCUUGGACGAUGGGACUGGGCCCAGCGAUAGGGAUCCUGUCCUGACGAGGGGGACCUACUUGUCCUUUCUAUAUCUGCGCCACCUGCGAAUCAGGGAGCUGCAGCGCGUCUGCUUAGGAAUUCUGAACUAUUUCAGAUCUGUUGAACGAACGCUGACAAUCAACACUUCAGGCCUCACCAUGGUUGCCGGGAGUCUGGUCCCCACCACAGAGGACAGUUCCCGGGUAAACAUGGCAAAAGGAGGCUUGGGCAUCUUGCAAGGCCUGGGAGCUCACCGCUAUGUCCACGGGACAUCUGCUGAGCACAAGGUCCACAGCAUCCAGUUCAUGGAGUUCUCAGAAGUGGAGAACCAGGAUGACUACUACAGCAUAGACGCGGGUUACGUCUACACCCAGGACCAGCGAGGAGUGCAUGUCAUGUAUGAUGAAGCCUUGAGUGAUCUGAAGGAGCUGGAGGCAGAAAUGCUGCUUGUAGCCAGCCAUUACAUUGAGAAAGAGAAAGGUCACAAAGAGGGCAGCAAGUCAAAUACUGGCCAGGACUGGGGAUGGGCCCAUGCAAGCGUGGACAGAUUUGCUGUGCUGUAUGACAUAUGGACCUGGGAAGCAGUUCUUCUAGAAAAUAAGCGCCAGCUUCUUGACAGUUACUUUGAGGCCUACCAGCACGUGUUGGACCCCGAGGAGAGGUUUGCCUUAGCACAAGUGAUCACUGACAUCAUGCACAGGUGCCCAAGGUUUGAUUUCAGCCACCCUUAUUUCAUUAAGGCCUACAAAGAUGAAUGCACCUGCCUGAGGCUUCACUUGCAGCUGGUGAGGGGCAUCCUCAAUCAGCACGCUCAGACUGAGACACCAGCAUGUCUUCGUGUGAAUGGAUCCUCAAAACCACGUCUGGGUGAAAAUCAGUCAAAUAAUGAAGGGACGCAAAGGACUGCUGUUCUUCUCAUGCCAGGGCUCAUAAUUCACACCCAUGGGAAAGUUUAA